rnacentral:tRNA from 1 species
GCCGAGAUGGCAGAACUUGGUAAAGCCCCUUUCUUUUGGAAAGAAAGUCCCUUGGGUUCAAAGAAACCCGUGUGGCUUCGCAAUAUUAAAGAAAGAGGCCAAGAAAUGCGCAAGCCUGGAAAGCUUGUUCCUGGAAAAGACUGAAGCGUAAGCUUCUUUCGCCAUUCGGGAGCGGGAGUUCAAAUCUCCCUCUCGGCG